CAGAGAUAAAUAGAAAUAUUUUAUCCUUGAAGCAAAUUAUUCUUACAUUGUAAGUUGUUAGUUGUAGAUUGUAAGUUAAUUUGUUGCGAAGCAACAAAUUGUAGAUACCCCAGUAGUCCACGCCCUAAACGAUGUAUAUUAGGCAUUGGAAGUAUCGACCCUUUCAGUGUCGUAGCUAACGCGUUAAAUAUACCGCCUGGGAAGUACGGCCGCAAGGCUAAAACUCAAAAGAAUAGACGGGGACUCGCACAAGCGGUGGAUCAUGUGGUUUAAUUCGACGCUAAACGAAGAACCUCACCAGGGUUAGAAAUCCAGGCGAAGACCAGAGGAAACUUUGGUUGUCUCACAAGGACGGCUGGACAGGUGAUGCAUGGCUGUCGUCAGUUCGUGGCUUGAGCUGUUCCCUUAAGUGGGGAAACGAACGCAACCCCUGUCUCGUGUUACAAGUGUCACGAGAGACUGCUCCCUUUAUGGGAGAGGAAGCGGGGAUGACGCCAAGUCAGCAUGUCCCUCUGACACCCUGGGCUACACACAUGAUACAAUGGUCGCUACAAUGGGCUGCGACGGGGAAACCCUGAGCUAAUCCUAAAAAAGCGGCCCCAGUUCGGAUUGAGGUCUGCAACUCGACCUCAUGAAGUUGGAAUCGCUAGUAAUCGCAGGUCAGCUAUACUGCGGUGAAUACGUUCUCGAGUCUUGUACUCACAAUAAAAGCGCACAGCUGGUUAUAGAACUAAGUCGUUAAAAUCGACUCCUCU
rnacentral:rRNA from 1 species